GAUGAACGCUGGCGGCGUGCCUAAUACAUGCAAGUCGAGCGAACAGACGAGGAGCUUGCUCCUCUGACGUUAGCGGCGGACGGGUGAGUAACACGUGGAUAACCUACCUAUAAUACUGGGAUAACUUCGGGAAACCGGAGCUAAUACCGGAUAAUAUAUUGAACCGCAUGGUUCAAUAGUGAAAGACGGUUUUGCUGUCACUUAUAGAUGGAUCCGCGCCGCAUUAGCUAGUUGGUAAGGUAACGGCUUACCAAGGCGACGAGGCGUAGCCGACCUGAGAGGGUGAUCGGCCACACUGGAACUGAGACACGGUCCAGACGCCUACGGGAGGCAGCAGUAGGGAAUCUUCCGCAAUGGGCGAAAGCCUGACGGAGCAACGCCGCGUGAGUGAUGAAGGUCUUCGGAUCGUAAAACUCUGUUAUUAGGGAAGAACAAAUGUGUAAGUAACUAUGCACGUCUUGACGGUACCUAAUCAGAAAGCCACGGCUAACUACGUG
rnacentral:rRNA from 1 species